UAUGUAACUGUGAGCUUAUGACCUCUGAACUUGGAAAGAAGCUGUUCAUGGCACAAAUUGAUAAAUGCAUUCAAGAUGUAUUAGUGAAUGAGAACACAACUACAUUGUCUCUAUGUAUUGGGGUUUUGCUUAUUUUCUUAGGUCUGGCAGAUGGAUGUGUGCUGAAUCAUCUUUCAUUCACAUACUAACCUAAUCUCUAGGCCAUGGGUGUAGGUCCACACAGUUUAUGUGUUCUGCUGCCAUUGUUGUGGUCAUCUUGGUUUUGUUGUUUCCUUUUGGUGGAGUCAGCAAUAAAACAGUGCGCA